rnacentral:rRNA from 1 species
GGCUCAGAACGAACGCUGGCGGCAUGCCUAACACAUGCAAGUCGAACGAGACUUCGGUCUAGUGGCGGACGGGUGAGUAACGCGUAGGAACCUGCCAAGCAGUGGGGAAUAACAGCUGGAAACGGCUGCUAAUACCGCAUACGCCCUUCGGGGGAAAGAUUUAUCGCUGUUUGAGGGUCCUGCGUUCGAUUAGCUAGUUGGUGAGGUAACGGCCCACCAAGGCGACGAUCGAUAGCUGGUCUGAGAGGAUGAUCAGCCACACUGGGACUGAGACACCGGCCCAGACUCCUACGGGAGGCAGCAGGUGGGAAUAUGGACAUGGGGAAACCCUGAUCCAGCAAUGCCGCGUGCGUGAAGAAGGCCUUAGGGUUGUAAAGCGCUUUCACCUGUGAUGAUGAUGACAGUAGCAGGAGAAGAAGCCCCGGCUAACUCCGUG